CUAAAGGGAAGUUAUCCCAGAUGGAAGCCAGAUUUCAGAUGGAAUCUACAGGAAGGAAUGAAAAGCACUAAAAAAAUGUUCUGGCCCAUGAUUUGAUGUAAUCAAUAGAAGAUGUGAAGACCUGACUAGAACAAAAAGGCCGAGUAAGAGGGAACUCCUUCUGCCUGAGUGUUCCAGCUGGGAUAUUGGUCUUUUCCUGCUGUUGAGCUUCAACUGAAACACUGGCUCUUGGGUCUCAAGCCUGCUGAUGUUCAAAUUGUAACUUACGUAAUUUGACUCUCCUGGAUCUCAGGCCUUUGGGCUCAAACUGGAACUACAGCAUUGUCUCUCCUGGGUCUCCAGCUUGCUGACUGCCGAUCUUGAAACUUUUCAGCUUCCCUAAUCAUGUGAGCCAAUUCCUUGCAACACACACACACACAC
rnacentral:lncRNA from 1 species